CUUGGAUGAGGUUAAAUAGCAAUUCAUAUAUCUCCGUUGUGGUGUUUGCGUGAGUAAGAUGCGAUCCUAUUAGAUACCCAUGGUCACCACGUAAAACAUGCAACAACAAUUAGAGGACAUCUAACUUGUUUUUGCAGGGUAUGCUUGUGAUGUGAUAUGGCCAACGAUGUGAUGUGAUAUAUUGGAUGUAUGAGAUGAUCAUGUUGUAAUAGUUAAUAUCGACUUGCACGUCGAUGGUACGGCAACCGGCAGGAGCCAUAGGGUUGUCUUUAAACUAACGUUUGUGCUUGCAGAUGCGUUUACUAUAUUGCUAGGACGUAGCUUUAGUAGUAAUAGCAUGAGUAGCACGACAACCCCCGAUGGCGACACGUUGAUGGAGAUCAUGGUGUGACGCCGGUGACAAGAAGAUCGUGCCGGUGCUUUGGUGAUGGAGAUCAAGCAACACAUGAUGAUGGCCAUAUCAUGUCACUUAUGAAUUGCA
rnacentral:lncRNA from 1 species